CCGUCUCCGCACAAGGUCACAAAAAGACCCCACCCCUCCUUCCUCGGGACGGAUCCACGCGCCCGGCUCUCCGUCUCGGGUGGUUCAGCGGACAAGCACUGGGCUCCGCGCACGACAUUGCUUCAAAUAUUGUAUUUUUAAGAAUUACCUCCAGGAUCUGUGUAUAAGGGGUAAAUAUAUGAAACGUUAAUGAAUUCAUUGAAUUGUAUGGAAAUUCUAUGGAAAUAUAAACAUUGCAAAAUAUAAAUAAAUAUUCCAAAAUUGGCCGCCUCCCCGGCCCGGCAGCCCCCCUCCCCCACUCUAGGCUCAUCCCCACCCUUGGCUGCCUGCCCCCCAACCACCGAAGAGGGACUCCCCCCGUUUCUGCCUUCAGAUUCCCCUCGAGGGAGGAAGGAAGGAGGGAAGGAAGGAAGGGGGUCUUGUCUCUGCUCUAAGGGACUGGAAAGACUUCUUGGUUAGCCGCCCUCCCCCCGCCCCCCGCCACUUCACUUGCAGCCCGGUAACCCCCCCCCCCCCAAGGGCGGUAACCAGAGGGGGGGGGUUAAAAGUCCAACCCCCCCGUAAUGUGUCAGGUUAAAAAAGAACCUGGUUCACUCAUAAAUGGGUUAACCAGUUCAUGCGCAUGUAUUUUCCGGGCUGUAUGGCCAUGUUCCAGAAGUAUUCUCUCCUGACGUUUCACCCACAUCUAUGGCAGGCAUCCUCAGAGGUUGUGAGGUAGAAGAUGUGGGUGAAACGUCAGGAGAGAAUACUUCUGGAACAUGGCCAUACAGCCCGGAAAAUAUACAACAACCCAGUUCAUGUGUAAACCAGGUUUGGGGGGGGGGGGGUGUUGAACCCUGUUGGGAGGGUUCACCCAGGGGCGGUUCAACCGCGAGGCCAUUUAGGCACUUGCCUGUGGUGCCAUAAUCCCGGGGGCACAGUUGAGGCGCCCCCCUCCUCCUCCUUCGGGCCUUUGGCCUGGCCUGGGCCCGACUUCAGCCUGGGCCCUUCUGCGUAGACCCGCCAUUCCCGCACCACCCUGGCCACCAGCACCAGCACCGUUUUGUUCCAGUGGCUCCACUCUUCCUCCUACUGCCGCCAUCACGGACCGUUGGAAACUAGGCAAGAGGUCUGUUGGAAACUAGGUUUUGACCUAUAAAGUCCUAAACGGUUCUGGUCCAACUUACCUGUCUGAGGUAUCAGCCCACGAGAACCUUAAGAUCAUCCGGGGAGGCCCUGCUCUCGAUCCCACCUGCCUCACAAGCGUGGGAAGACAGGGCCUUCUCGGUGGUGGCUCCUCGGCUGUGGAACUCCCUCCCUAGUGACAUCCGGCAGGCUCCAUCCCUUCUGGGGUUUAGAAAGAAGUUGAAGACCUGGUUAUGUGCACAAGCGUUUAAUGAAUGAACUCAUUUAGCAUUGACAUGGAUUGGAUUAAGGCUCUUUCACAAGGUCUGAUGGAUGACUGGCAUAUAUAUUUGGCGUUGCACUAUGUUAAAUCUUUUAUAUAUUGUAUUUUACUAUUUUUAUUGUUUUAGUAUUUUAUUGUAUUAUGAUAUACUGGUACUGAUCCUACCAGUUGUGUAAGCCGGCUUGAGUCCCCUCGGGGAGAAGGGCGGGGUAGAAAUAUCGGAAAUAAAUAAAUAAAUAAAUUUUA